UCGUUGGUGCCACACAGUACUGCUGGCGAGACAUUUUUGUCAGAUGGCAGGGGAUUUCUCAAAUGUGUAGACUUUCUAAUUCGAGCAUUUCCGGUGCUCAAAAUUACAAAUCAUUUAUUAAACAUGAUGCACAAAAAAAUAAUUUAAUUUAAAAAAUUAAAAUUUUUGUCCAAAAAAAAUCUGAGCACCUCUACUGCUCACAAUUGCAAGUCAUUUUAAAUUUUCUUGUCUUUUAUGGCCUCACCCAUUUUUGGUUGUAUUCUUCAGACAGAAAGAAUAAAUGAAGAACAAAAAUUGUGCACUCAAUCCAUAGGACCACUUACAGGAUUUUUUUUAAUAGGGUAUUUGAACCCAAGGGGUGCUGGUGUUUCUGAAAAAAGCACAUUUGUAAUUACAUCAGGUUCAAAUGCUGGGCCACAGGAUUCGAACUGGGACCAUUACCGUACAGUGAUGAGUGCCGUAUCACACCUAAAUCUUUGCGGCCACCAACCCCCCCUCCAGAUGGUUUAAAAAGUUUGUAGAAGUUAACUUCGUCGUAGAAUCGUCCCCUAAAGAAAAUAAUUGUGAUAAUGAGUGUAUGUUAAUUACUGGUCGUAAGUAUACGCACCAUUAUCAAGGCUUAUUAUCUUGUUAAAUUUCUGCAACUCGUCAUUAGCUAGGACUAUAUACAUGAAAUUUCCAACUAGUAGGGACACACCAGCAAAGAAAUAAUAUAAGCACCAGUCUUUCUCCUGCAUCUGAAAUCGAUUUGUCGUCGUACUUAUAGAAUUGAAGGAAAUAAACGCAAUGGCUUACGUCAAUCAUCAGCACACUGGUCAUGAACAUACGCCCCAAUAAUACUGGUAUGUUGCCGAUCGUUUUGGAAAACCCGAUGAGAAAUCCACUAAAGUUCGGUGCAAGAUCGAAGUGGGUGAGCCAAGCCCCGACAUUAUUAAAUGCUGUUGUGAAGAACAUCAAGUUGUAAAAUAUUAAACCGCUACCAGCCGAUUGAAUAUAACAAAUGAAGAAAAGACAGAUUGAAGAACCCCAGAGUCCUGGAAACCAAUAAAUAUAAAAAUAAUUUAAA